rnacentral:rRNA from 1 species
UGAACGCUGGCGGCAGGCCUAACACAUGCAAGUCGAACGGUAACAGGAAGAAGCUUGCUUCUUUGCUGACGAGUGGCGGACGGGUGAGUAAUGUCUGGGAAACUGCCUGAUGGAGGGGGAUAACUACUGGAAACGGUAGCUAAUACCGCAUAACGUCGCAAGACCAAAAAGGGGGACCUUCGGGCCUCUUGCCAUCGGAUGUGCCCAGAUGGGAUUAGCUAGUAGGUGGGGUAACGGCUCACCUAGGCGACGAUCCCUAGCUGGUCUGAGAGGAUGACCAGCCACACUGGAACUGAGACACGGUCCAGACUCCUACGGGAGGCAGCAGUGGGGACUCUUGCCCCCUGGGCGCCCGCCUGCUGCCGCCCUGCCGCGUGUAUGAAGAAGGCCUUCGGGUUGUAAAGUACUUUCAGCGGGGAGGAAGGGAGUAAAGUUAAUACCUUUGCUCAUUGACGUUACCCGCCGAAGAAGCACCGGCUCACUCCGUG